GACGAACGCUGGCGGCGUGCUUAACACAUGCAAGUCGAACGGAAAGGCCCUGCUUUUGUGGGGUGCUCGAGUGGCGAACGGGUGAGUAACACGUUAGUAACCUGCCCUUUACUUUGGGAUAACUUCAGGAAACUGGGGCUAAUACCGGAUAGGAGCUCCUGCUGCAUGGUGGGGGUUGGAAAGUUUCGGCGGUUGGGGAUGUACUCGCGGCUUAUCAGCUUGUUGGUGGGGUAGUGGCUUACCAAGUCUUUGACGGGUAGCCGGCCUGAGAGGGUGACCGGGCACAUUGGGCCUGCGAUACGGCCCAGACUCCUACGGGAGGCAGCAGUGGGGAACAUUGCAGAACGGGCGGAAGCCUGAUGCAGCAAUGCCGCGUGCGGGAUGCCGGCCUUCUGGUUGUAAACCGCUUUCUAAGGUGACGAAGCGUGAGUGACGGUAAUUGGUAAAGAAGCACCGGCUAACUACGUG
rnacentral:rRNA from 1 species